rnacentral:piRNA from 1 species
UCCUGGCUACUGGCUUGGGUAGGGGUAGA